UUGAAGGCUGGAAUGAAAGGUUGGAUGAAGGAAAUACUGUUUUAUAUAAAUGAUUUUGAAUUUAUAAUUUAAGUAAAAAUACUUAAAUUGUGUUAAGGGACGAGAAGACCCUAUAGAGUUUAAUAUAAAAAGUUCUAGUUUUGUUAUUUUGGAUCUAAAAAUUAGUUAUAUAUUAUAUUUGAUUGGGGUGAUUGGAAAAUAAAUUAAAUUUUUCUUUUAUGUUUAUAAAAUGAAUAGAAAUAAGAUCCAUUAUUUUAAUGAUUAAAAGGUUAAAUUACCUUAGGGAUAACAGCAUAA
rnacentral:rRNA from 1 species